AAGAGCUCACAUUCUGAUGGGACAGACAGGCAGUAGUAAGUACAUGGACAGAGAUGUAAUCAAUGUUGGGUUGUUACCUGCCUCUGAGCUAUGAAGAAAAGUAAGGCUGGGUGGCCGGGCGUGAGCCACCACACCCGGCCUCUCAUUUAUAUUUUAAAAGAAUCCCUGUGACCUACCAUGUGGAGAAAAGACUAUAGGGGGUAAGGCCUGAAGCAGGGAGAGCAUGUGGGUGUUACAGUCCAAGUGAGAGAUAAUAGUGACUUGAAACUAAGUGGCAUGGUGGUAAAUAGUUACAGGCUCUCUGAGAGGGGAACAAACUGUGAUUUGGAAGAUUUGUGAGCCUUUGCUGAUUUCCAUGGUGUAAGUCGUCCUGCGGUGGUGAUUUCAGGGCCACUCGUUUGCUAGCACCGAAUGUGGGAAAAGUUGUGCCCAGUCAGCAUUCUUGAGUUGGUGCAAGCCAGCUCCAGCACACCACCGAUUGAACUUGAAUGCAUUGAACCUGGGGUGUGUUUGCAGGGGAUGUUCAAAUUUGUCUCCAUCUUCUAGGGCAGGUGGAAGCUCUACCACCUUCUUGGAAAGGAGGCGAGGAAGAAGGUUAUCAGAGGGAGAGUCAGUUUAUGAAGUCCAUCAUGUUGAAGCCUUGCAAAAUAAGCAUAGAUGUUGGAGGCCUUGCAGGAACUCUGGACUCUUAGAUCCUUUGAAAGUGGAGCUCAACGCAAAACCUCCCUGCAAACAGGAAGCUGGUUUGAGUUAAGAACAUAAAAUAAAAACCAGCUGAUGCCCCUGAAUGUUUUCCCCUGCUCCUCCCCUUCCACAGAGCCAAAGGAAACUGCUUUUCCCCCCCCUUGGAUAGCUGCUUAGAAAGCCAGAAAAAGCCAAAAACAUAAAUCCUUUGAAAAUAAGCCAAGUUUUGAGCCCAGGCAAACUCCUGCCUGUGGGGUUUUCCUAGUGCGGAAGUAUGUUCCACUGCUGAGAGUCCUAGGAGGAAAAUGACUAAGGAACACAAAGGUGCCGGUGAUCAGAGCCUGUCUCCCAGGCCUGGCAGAAAGAGAUGGUCCGUAGCAGGGUUUCCCAAACUAGAGCUUCCAGCCCAUUUGUAGGUCAUGAAAUCAGUAAAGUGGGCCAUGACCAGAAUUCUUUUUAAUGAAAUGGAAUAUAAUAGAAAAUAGAGUAUAUUGUACUCUAGGAUUAACAAUAGUAUAUUGUUUUGUGAAACUUUCAGUUUUAUGCAUAUGCACACACGUCUCUAUAUACUGGCUCAUGAUAUAAAAUGUGUUUCUUACUGUGGGUCAUGGCCAAAAAACUUUGAUAAACACUGGUCUUUAGAGUGUUAGUAGCCCACGUCUCCUUCUUGCUUUAGAGAAUUAAUUCUCUUUGGAAUUGGAUCAUCUACCCACAAAACACCUACCCAAAUUCCUGUUAGAAAGAAGAUCAGCUGAGAACCAACUGACUUGGUGUAAUUCUUCGGCACCAACACUGAAGCAUGAGGGACGGAAGGGAUCAAUGCAAAUUUAAAUCCAAAGGAUUUACCUUUAAUCAGAUUACCAGGAGAAAAUAAGAGUUGAGCAGCCCUUUAGCUUACUACACUUGAUUUUGUGGCCUCUCCCAGCUGUGUGGGUAAUGCCAGCCUGGGGCCGUUCUCUUUCCUGUCUGCAGAAGGCGGUGGGUGUGGCAGGAAUGUCCCUAAAUAUCCCCUCCUCUGGGAGAGUUGAAGGUUCAGUGCCAGGAUGACUGGUGACUUAAACUGAGUAUCCCCCAGACUUCCCCAGGAUGAUUUUGUUGCUCUCCAGUCAGUAAUAGGUGACUAGAUCCCAGUGGUUCAUUAAGCUGAGAAAAAGUAGAGGAGGCAUAAGUUAGGGGAACCUAUCAAGAAUGUAUAGAGAAGGCCAAAGUUACUUUGUUCCACACUAGGUUUAGUGCCUCAGAUCGGCGCAAGGGUAAUUGGCAAGUUUGGUGCUUGCCAGGUGGCUGUGGGUUGCUGCUCUGUAUUGAAACCACAUCUACCAGUGAGCAGACACAUG
rnacentral:lncRNA from 10 species